UACGAAGGAGGCUAGCGUUGCUCGGAAUCACUGGGCGUAAAGCGCACGUAGGCGGCUUCUUAAGUCAGGGGUGAAAUCCUGGAGCUCAACUCCAGAACUGCCUUUGAUACUGAGUAGCUUGAGUCCGGGAGAGGUGAGUGGAACUGCGAGUGUAGAGGUGAAAUUCGUAGAUAUUCGCAAGAACACCAGUGGCGAAGGCGGCUCACUGGCCCGGUACUGACGCUGAGGCACGAAAGCGUGGGGAGCGAACGGG
rnacentral:rRNA from 1 species